rnacentral:rRNA from 1 species
GACGAACGCUGGCGGCGUGGAUUAGGCAUGCAAGUCGAACGGUAUCAUCCUUUCGGGGGUGAGAGAGUGGCGAACUGGUGAGUAACACGUAGGUUAUCUACCCUCAAGACGGGGACAACCCAGGGAAACUUGGGCUAAUACCGGAUGUGAGCAACUUUUAGUUGUUUGAAAGGUGGCGUAAGCUGUCGCUUGGGGAUGAGCCUGCGUCCUAUUAGUUAGUUGGUGAGGUAACGGCUCACCUAGGCAAUGAUAGGUAGGCGGCCUUAACGGGUGGUCGCCCACACUGGGAUUGAGAUACGGCCCAGACUCCUACGGGAGGCAGCAGUCGAGAAUAGUCUACAAUGGUCGGAAGACUGAUAGUGCGACGCCGCGUGAACGAUGAAUCCCUUCGGGGUGUAAAGUUCUUUUAUAUGUGAGCAGUGCUUCUUAUAUUAACAGUAUGGGGAGAGAGAUAUUAGCAUAUGAAUAAGCAACGGCUAACUCCGUGCCAACAGCCGCGGUAAACUCGUCU